rnacentral:rRNA from 1 species
UACGUAGGGUGCAAGCGUUAAUCGGAAUUACUGGGCGUAAAGCGUGCGCAGGCGGCUAUGCAAGACAGAUGUGAAAUCCCCGGGCUCAACCUGGGAACUGCAUUUGUGACUGCAUAGCUAGAGUACGGUAGAGGGGGAUGGAAUUCCGCGUGUAGCAGUGAAAUGCGUAGAUAUGCGGAGGAACACCGAUGGCGAAGGCAAUCCCCUGGACCUGGUACUGA